GCUCAAAUUUAAAAUCUGGCAGUCUUUGAUUGUCCGAGUUGUAAUCUAGAGAAGUGUUAUCCGCGCUGGACCGUGUAAAAGUCUCCUGGAAUGGAGCAUCAUAGAGGGUGAGAAUCCCGUCUUUGACAUGGACUACCAGUGCUUUGUGAUGCGCUCUCAAAGAGUCGAGUUGUUUGGGAAUGCAGCUCAAAAUGGGUGGUAAAUUCCAUCUAAAGCUAAAUAUUGGCGAGAGACCGAUAGCGAACAAGUACCGUGAGGGAAAGAUGAAAAGAACUUUGGAAAGAGAGUUAAACAGUACGUGAAAUUGCUGAAAGGGAAACGCUUGAAGUCAGUCGCGUUGGCCAGGAAUCAACCUUGCUUUUGCUGGGCGUACUUUCUGGUUGACGGGUCAGCAUCAAUUUUGACUGCUGGAGAAAGUUCAAGGGAAUGUGGCAUCUUCGGGUGUGUUAUAGCCCUUGUUCGCAUACAGCAGUUGGGAUUGAGGAACUCAGCACGCCGCAAGGCCGGGUUUCGACCACGUUCGUGCUUAGGAUGCUGGCAUAAUGGCUUUAAUCGACCCGUCUUGAAACACGGACCAAGGAGUCUAACAUGCCUGCGAGUGUUUGGGUGGAAAACUCAAGCGCGCAAUGAAAGUAAAAGUUGAGAUCCCUGUCGUGGGGAGCAUCGACGCCCGGACCAGACCUUUUGUGACGGAUCUGCGGUAGAGCAUGUAUGUUGGGACCCGAAAGAUGGUGAACUAUGCCUGAAUAGGGUGAAGCCAGAGGAAACUCUGGUGGAGGCUCGUAGCGAUUCUGACGUGCAAAUCGAUCGUCAAAUUUGGGUAUAGGGGC
rnacentral:rRNA from 1 species